rnacentral:rRNA from 1 species
GGAAUUUGAUCUUGGUUCAGAUUGAAUGCUGACGGCGUGGAUGAGGCAUGCAAGUCGAACGAAAAAUAGAGUGCUUGCACACUAUUUUUAGUGGCGGAAGGGUUAGUAAUAGAUGAACAACCUGCCGGUUACCUGGGGAUAACCAUUGGAAACAGUGGCUAAUACCGAAUGAAGUAUCUUUAAGGCAUCUUAGAGAUAUAAAAGGAGGGAUACUUCCGGUAAUUGAGGGGUUCAUGAGAUAUCAGCUAGUUGGAGUGGUAAAGGCACACCAAGGCAAUGACGUCAAGGCGGGCUGAGAGGUUGACCGCCAACACUGGACUGAGACACUGUCCAGACUUCUACGGGAGGCUGCAGUCGAGGAUCAUUCGCAAUGGGCGAAAGCCUGACGAUGCGACGCCGUGUGAACGAAGAAGGCCCUUGGGUUGUAAAGUUCUUUCGCUUGGGAGCAAGAGAUAAGUAUGAAUAAUGCUUAGAUUUGAGAGUACCAGGUAAAGAAGCACCGGCUAACUCCGUGCCAGCAGCUGCGGUAAUACGGAGGGUGCAAGCAUUAAUCGGAAUUAUUGGGCGUAAAGAGCGCGUAGGUGGUUUUGUAAGUCUUUGCUGAAAUUUCAAAGCUUAACUUUGAAGCUGGCAAAGAAACUGUAAGACUAGAGGAUAUGCGGAGAAGACGGAAUUUCACGUGUAGCGGUGAAAUGCGUAGAUAUGUGAAGGAACACCGGUGGCGAAGGCGGUUUUCUAGCAUAAACCUGACACUGAGGCGCGAAAGCAAGGGGAGCAAACAGGAUUAGAUACCCUGGUAGUCCUUGCCGUAAACGAUGUAUACUUGAUGUAGAUGGACUCAACCCUGUCUGUGUCGAAGCAAACGCGAUAAGUAUACCGCCUGAGGAGUACGCUCGCAAGGGUGAAACUCAAAAGAAUUGACGGGGACCCGCACAAGCAGUGGAGUAUGUGGUUUAAUUCGAUGCAACGCGAAGAACCUUACCCAGGUUUGACAUGCACAUGACCGCACCAGAAAUGGUGUUUUCCGCAAGGACAUGUGUGCAGGUGCUGCAUGGCUGUCGUCAGCUCGUGCCGUGAGGUGUUGGGUUAAGUCCCGCAACGAGCGCAACCCUUAUCGUUAGUUGCCAACAUUUAAGGUGGGGACUCUAACGAGACUGCCUGGGUGAACCAGGAGGAAGGUGAGGAUGACGUCAAGUCAGCAUGGCCCUUAUGUCUGGGGCUACACACGUACUACAAUGGUCGGUACAGAAGGCGGCAAAACCGAAAGGUCGAGCAAAUCCUAGAAAACCGAUCUCAGUUCGGAUUGUAGACUGCAAUUUGUCUACAUGAAGUUGGAAUUGCUAGUAAUGGCGUGUCAGCAAUAACGCCGUGAAUACGUUCCCGGGUCUUGUACACACCGCCCGUCACAUCAUGGAAGUUGGUUUUACCCGAAGUCUCUGACUAAACCCGCAAGGGGUAGAAGAGCCUAAGGUGAGGCCGAUGACUGGGAUGAAGUCGAAACAAGGUA